rnacentral:rRNA from 1 species
GAUGAACGCUAGCGGCAGGCUUAACACAUGCAAGUCGAGGGGUAACAGGGAAGAGCUUGCUUUUCUGCUGACGACCGGCGCACGGGUGCGUAACGCGUAUAGAACCUACCUUUUACAGGGGAAUAGCCCAGAGAAAUUUGGAUUAAUGCCCCAUAGUAUUAUUGAAUGGCAUCAUUUAAUAAUUAAACAUUUAUGGGUAAAAGAUGGCUAUGCGUUCUAUUAGCUAGAUGGUAAGGUAACGGCUUACCAUGGCAACGAUAGAUAGGGGUCCUGAGAGGGAGAUCCCCCACACUGGUACUGAGACACGGACCAGACUCCUACGGGAGGCAGCAGUGAGGAAUAUUGGACAAUGGAGGCAACUCUGAUCCAGCCAUGCCGCGUGCAGGAAGACGGUCCUAUGGAUUGUAAACUGCUUUUAUAUAGGAAGAAACCUUUCCACGUGUGGAAAGCUGACGGUACUAUAAGAAUAAGCACCGGCUAACUCCGUGCCAGCAGCCGCGGUAAUACGGAGGGUGCAAGCGUUAUCCGGAAUCAUUGGGUUUAAAGGGUCCGUAGGCGGACUAAUAAGUCAGGGGUGAAAUCCAACAGCUUAACUGUUGAACUGCCUUUGAUACUGUUAGUCUUGAGUUAUAUGGAAGUAGAUAGAAUAUGUAGUGUAGCGGUGAAAUGCUUAGAGAUUACAUAGAAUACCGAUUGCGAAGGCAGUCUACUACGUAUAU